rnacentral:tRNA from 1 species
AUAUGGCUCAAUAGGUAGAGUGCAGGGCUUUGGAACUAAAAGGCCGAGAUUCAAAUCU